rnacentral:rRNA from 1 species
UGUUACCUACGGGGGGCAGCAGUGAGGAAUAUUGGUCAAUGGGCGAGAGCCUGAACCAGCCAAGUCGCGUGAGGGAAGACGGCCCUACGGGUUGUAAACCUCUUUUGUCAGGGAGCAAGAACGGAUACGUGUAUCCGAGCGAGAGUACCUGAAGAAAAAGCAUCGGCUAACUACGUGCCAGCAGCCGCGGUAAUACGUAGGUGGCAAGCGUUGUCCGGAUUUACUGGGUGUAAAGGGCGUGUAGCCGGGCUGACAAGUCAGAUGUGAAAUCCGGGGGCUCAACCCCCGCACUGCAUUUGAAACUG